CGAUCAACAGCUUUUACAGGGUAUCAAACAGGCUCCCGCCAAAAGAGUAUAAACAGGGCAGGAUUUCACACAGACUAACAAGCAAAUGAAAGAUAACCAAAACAGCAAAAUUCGCCUUCCCAGGCAUUAAGCCAAGAACCUCCAGCAGGAACCUCUCAAGGUCAGAAAACACACACUCACCACAACCUUACAGUUUGGUUCCAUUAAUCAGGACCGGAGGAGGAACCUUCAUCUCGGGAUGCCAGACAUCCGGUGAAUUCGUCUUCUUCAGUAAGCUGCAAUGAAACAGGGUGUAUUUUUUGCAAUGCAUUAGGCAGUUCCAGUUCAGCAGUCACCUUAUUGAUCACCCUGACAAUCUUGAAGGGCCCAAUAUACUUCGCACUUAAUUUUGAGGGUCUAUGUAUGUCCCGAAGGUUCUUUGUGGAGAGGAACACCAUAUCUCCUACCACUAGAGGGAAGUCACAUCUAUGCUUAUUAGCCUGUCGCUUGUAUGAGUCUCUGGCUUUCUGAAGCGCUCGCAAGAUUGGGGGCCAUUGAUCAGCGACGGACCGCAUCCAAUCUUUAACAUCUGGUCCAGGGGCAUCCCCCAACUGAAGCAUGGGCAGAGGGGGUGCUGAACGGCCAUGAACCACCUCAAAAGGAAUCUUGCCUGUGCUACUAUGAACAGAGUUAUUAUAGGCAUAUUCCGCAUAGGGCAAAAGGUCAACCCAGUCAUCUUGCUGACAGUUCACAUAACACCUUAGAUACUGUUCCAAAGUCUGAUUGGAUCUCUCACUCUCUCCAUCAGAUUGUGGGUGGUACACUGAAGACACCCCUUGUUCAAUGCCCAACAGAUCGGGGAUAAAGAAAUUCAGCAAAGGCAGGUCUGGCAGAAGUGGCUUUUUCAAGCUGGGCACUUGGCUGCCUUUCAAUAAAUGCUACUGAUCAAGAAUCCAGAGUCUGUUUAUUGGUUAAACGUCCAAGACCUAACAGCUUGCAAACUAGCCAUUGUACUGUAAGUGUUUCUCUUUCACAAUCUUUUUGGAGAAACAAAUUGGUUUUAUUGAUUUAGUUUUUAAAAAAAUCUGAGAAACUCCAGUAGUGGUACAGAGGAGCUGAAUAAUAGGAAAGGGAUGGAAGGAAUAAAAGCAAACUAAUGUAUGCAAGUCUUUUAGCACAACAUUGUUCUCUGAUGGGCCAUGGCUCUCUAGGGGCGGAGGGAAUGUUAUUUUCCAGCCUUACUACCAAUGUUCUUGAAUGGGAUAGAACUCAGAGGGGCUGGUUCUCAGGCCAAGUGCCCUAUGUGGCUGCUCUGGGGCAUGUCUGUGUGGAAGGGGCCUUGAAUUGUGUCCAGUAACAAAUGCAGCUGGUGCGUCUGGAAAGGAAUGCGCAACAUCUUCUGGGGUGCUGUUGGCUUUGACCCAGCCAAAUCCCCGUGGCAAUGCGACAGGGCUUGGCUUGCAUCUGGUCAGCAAUGGUACGCCACCACAGGUAUAGGCCCAAGAGGGGAUGGUGGUACUUUGCUUGAGAGCUGAAAUACAGGCGACAUCUUAAAAAAUUAAUAUGAACGGUUGCACAGACCUCUAAUACCGUUGAUGAUACAAUUAUAUACAUGACCAACAAGAUAAUCUUUGUUUUAAGGACAGGACGACUAAGGAAGGCCAAACAGGGCAAAACAGGUAUGGUCCCUCGUUGAUCACUGAUAUGAUUGUGUCAACAGUGUUAAAGAUUUAUCAUACUGAUUUUAAGGCAUCGCUAGCCUGUAUUUCAGGCCUCAUGUUUUUAACAAAUAUUUUUGCAUAUAUUACAUAUAAUAAAUACAACUAUUUUGUUACAGA